AUUUAGAAUCUCUUCCAGAGAAGUGUUUACGAAACCUCGUUUCUCUCCGAAAACUCUUCAUUUACAACUGUAAUGGACUCAGGUCUCUCCCUUGUAAAGGUAUUCAACAUCUCACCUCACUUCAAGAGAUGGAAAUCAUGUACUGCAAUGAGCUUGCGCUACUAAACGAUGAAGAUGAUGGCAUGCAAUGGCAAGGCCUUAGGAGCCUCCGUUUUCUUCAUUUAGAGAGAAUUCCAAAAUUUGUGUCUCUGCCAGAUGGGCUUCAACAUGUUACCACUCUAAAAUAUCUCAAAAUUAUUAAUUGUCCUAAUUUGAUGGCUUUACCAGUAUGGAUAGGCAACCUCACAUCACUAACAAAACUUGAAAUUGACAAAUGUCCGGAAUUAGCAUCACUACCUCAAGGGAUUCACAAGCUCACUGUCUUACAAGAAAUAAUAAUUACUGAGUGUCCCCUCUUACAACAAAGAUGCCAGAGGCAAACAGGAGAAGAUUGGCCCAACAUUGCUCAUGUCCCAUAUGUGUAUGUGGAUAAUAAAGCAACACAAAGCUUCUUAAGGAACUUUUUAUUUUCAAAUGGUUGAAUCUUUUGGACCUAGUUGCACCUUCUACUGCUGCAGCCUCUACCUCAUCUCCAAAUACAUCAGAGAGGGAGCCAGCACACACUGAGUAUGGAGGAUUGUGUGAUGGUGGAUGAAGUGUAUAAAGUUUUUAGGCCAAAGAGAAGCAGUUCGAUUAAAUGUCCCAAAAGUGGAGUAAUUUGCUGCAAAGUGAUGCAGAGGGAUAAAAGCCAUAAUAUGGCUGUGAAGUUCACCAUUGGAUGGCCAUCAAAAGGAAAUUAUACAACAUUAAGUAUACAUAGAGCAAUUUUGUAUUAAACAUUAAGUAUACAUAUAUCGCAAAUUUUCUAUUAAGUCUA